GGCGGUGUAGUAUAGUGGUCAGUACAUGCCGUGACAGUGGCCGGACAUCAGAUGCCCUGAUCCAGCAGAGAUGUACCCCCCACUGACGACAAGGUCCUGGUUCAAGUCCAAGCGCCGCCA